AUGACCUGUCUGAAAGAAAGAAAGAAAGAAAGAAAGAAAGAAAGAAAGAAAGAAAGAAAGAAAGAAAGAGAAAGAGAGAGAGAAAGAAAGAAGAAAGGAAGAAAGGAAAGAAGGAAGGAAAGAAGGAAGGAAGGAAGGAGAAAAGAGAAGAGAACAGAAGAGGAACUGAGCUUCCUGACAAAACCCUGGACAGGAAUUCAUUUCCAGAAGAGUGGAACUGACAGAAUCUUUAACUACCAUGUAAAUGGCAAGCAACACUAAUGGGUCCCUUGAAGAGGUCUCAUAUGUAGACUUGAAACUAAGAAACGAAUCUUUGCCUUAAACAUAGUAAUGCUCAACUGCAACAAAUUGAAAUCACCUGACUCAUCAACACAAACUUCAGUAGACUCAGCAAAUAUUUGUAGUUUCACAUUAUUCCAGGAAUCCAAAUUAGCUGAUAUUCUAUAAAUCACACCUUUUUCAUGGUCCCUGUGUGAUAGUUUACCUGACUCAUUGAGAGGAAUAUUCCAAGGUGGUGGAAAGAAGAUCCAGAAAGUGACACAAGGAGACUACACAGAAAUUAACCUUCAUCACACUCAGCUUACCAAUAAAAAAAAAUACAAAAAAGCUUGCUAGUGCAUGGAUUCAGACAGCUCCUAGUGACAAGAAGGACUGGAAACACGGGCUCCAUGGAAGAGAAGGAAAUUAAAAAAACCCAACAGAGAGGAUCUAAAGAGAACAGAAAUCUUGUUUCAGUGGUGUUAAGUACAUAAAGCUAACGCCAAUUUCAGACUUAGUGUUAUCGCUCCAGUGUUAUCUUCUUUGUUAUCAUUUCAGGAAAAAUAAUGCAGCUGGUUGUAAUUUUAUUUCCUGAUAGUGUAUCCAUAAUGUCUUUUAUCUCCUCACAAAGACAAAUUAGCAUAUUAGGGUUAAAUGAACCUUCUAUUUUAAUUACGAAUCUUCUCACUUUGCUUACAAACUUCCCUCUAAAGACAAAGUACAAAAAAUUGAUAAAGUAGAUGAGGGAAGCACCAGCAGAAUGCCUGCUUAAACUGAUUUAUUAACUCAUUAGGAUGGAUUAGCCUGUAUCACUUCUGGACACUUGGGCUAGGUGAAACCAGCACAAGCAGUCUAUCCCUGCAAAAUCGUGAGACAUAGUAAUGAAAUCAAAAUUGAACUUAGUUAAUGGGUCAUUCUGUUUAGUCUCUCUGUAAUUCCAGAAUGAUCCAGCAUGAACAAGUUGGCAUAACCAGUAAGAAAAUGAUCAUAACCAUAACAACAAUAUUUACUUAUCACUUUCAAUUAUAUAGGCUUUAUGCUAAAUACUUGUAUAAGCUUAUUUAAAAUCUGCAGCAAUUAUGUGAGGUAGGUCUUAUCCCCACAUUUUAUAGAUUAGAAGACUGUGGUUCCAAUAGGGUUUUUAACACAAAUCUAUUCAGUUUCAAAAUCCAUGCCAUUACCCACUGCAUCAUAUUGCCUCUCUGGGCUGCAAAAUAAAUACAAAAGUGGGGUCAGAAAAUCUCUAAAAGUGUUUGAAACCAUAUUCAUUGACAUGUUGGCUACUCAUCUAGACCUCUAAGCUUCCUUUCAGGAAAAUAAUCACUUCAAGCUUAAAUAUGCUCUCAUGUAAUCUGUCAAAACUGCCAGACACAGUGCUCUUAUCUUCCCUCCAACCCUCCAGCCCCCUGCUGAGGUGCCUGGUGUAGGACUUGCUUUCAUGUUCAGCACCUGAAAAUCCCAGCAGAAUUCCCCCAGAAAUGGACACUGCAGCUCUCAUUAUAUGGUGAAUCUUGGGUGACUCUUUCUGGCUAACAGCUCAGGUGGAAGGAAGUGAGAUGCCCUUAUCAAACCCCAUAGCCUGUGUCCUAGAUUUUCAGCCAUACUUCUGAUCUCUGAUGCGCCUUCUUCUAUUUUCCAUUCAUUAUGAUCUAGGGACAAGUCCAUUUUAAAAAGCAUUACUCUUCAUCACAGGAUUAAGAAAAUGUCAGGACGUCUCUUUUUUUUUUUUUUUUUGAGACAGAACUUCACCGUUGUUGUCCAGACUAGAGUGCAAUGGGGCAAUCUCAGCCCACUGCAAUCUCUGCCUCCUGGGUUCAAGUGAUUCUCCUGCCUCAGCCUCCCGAGUAGCUGGGAUUACAGGCAUGUGCCACCACACUUGGCUUAUUUUUUGUAUUUAGUAGAGACGGGGUUUCAUCAUGUUGGUCAGGCUGAUCUUGAACUCCUGACCCCUCAAGUGAUCCACUCGCCUAGGCCUCCCAGCAUGCUGGACUUACAGGCACGAUCCACGUCCCCGGCCAGGACAUAUACUUUUGAAAUAAAACUCACAUGGGGUCUGGUAUUCAUCACUCUUGAUGUGCCACAGUUCCCAGCCUGACACCUCAGUCCUGUCCCCUUUUUGGUAAAUGUAAAUGCUAUCUUGACUUCCUCAACUGUUAGGGCUAUGUAACCUGGAUGAAUUGGUCAGGUGACCAAUAUCAAUGGGAGGGCGGGGUUACAAUGAAAAGAAAAAAAAAAUCCAACAAACCACAGUCCCCUGGUUGAGGAUUUCAUGUGCUGUGUUAACUUUUUUUUGUGACUGAUCGGUUUUAUACAUGGUGCUAGCACUCAGAUUAGUUGUGAGCGUUUUAACAAGGACUGUGAGGAGACACACCUUUAACUUUGUGGAAUGAAUCUAAUGUUUGUCAUUCCCAGCCCCAACUGACAAGUGGGGCUCAGAAAACAAUGCCCCACAAUUAAGUUCUCAGAAACGCAUUAGAAUAAAAGUUUUUCUCUGACCUUCUCUUGCCCUCCUGUCUCUCCUUCCCAUUUUCCCCCAGGGCUAGCCAUAGAAACUAUAAUCUGUCUUCCUCAAGGCAAGUCACAGAAAGCAGAACCCUUUGGCUUGACAGUCAGCCAUAACACAGAAAGAUGUCCUAUAUGAAAACCGGUCACAAGUUAUUUGACCAACCUUGUUUGACUGUAAAAAAAAAUCCAGAAGGAAAGAUGCAUACACAAAGAGGUCAAGAAGAGUCUAGACAGACUGGCCUUGCUGGGUUUCCCAAUCAAUAUAUUAGCAUUAGUUCAUACCCCUUUUGUCCAAUCAGAUUUUUACAUGGCUGUCUAUACUCUGUUGAACAUAAGCAUAAAAAUGAAUAAUUUCCCCU
ensembl:lincRNA